GUGGCUCAUGGCUGUAAUCCCAGCACUUUGGGAGGCUGUGGUAGAAGGAGUGCUCGAGGCCAGGAAUUUGAGAUCAGCCUGGGCAACAUAGUGCGACCCCCAUCUCUACAAAAAAUUUAAAAAUUAGCCAGGUGUAGUGGUACAUACCUGUGGUCCUAGCUACUCUGAAGGCUGAGGUGGGAGGAUCACUUGAGCCCACGAGUUCAAGGUGGCAACGAGCCAUAAUCAUGCCACUACACUCCAGCCUGGAUGACAGAGUGAGACCCUGUCUCUAAAAACCAAAAACAAACAAAAAAGUGAAAUGGGAGUUUCUAUUAAUACUUCUUCUUUCUUUCACUUGGAGAGCCCUGAGUCACCAUGAAAGAUUUCUGGCCACCCUGCUGAAGAGGCCACAUGGGGAGGCCACAUGGAGAGGAGGAGAGGUCCACUGAUCCAGCAUUUUAGUUGAGCUUCCAGCUGACUCCAGCCUCAAGCUUUAUCUGAAUGCACCUGCAUGAGAGACUUCUAAGCAAGACCAGCAGAAGAUCCACCCGCUGAUCCCAGACAACCCAUGGAACCAUGAGAGAGCCAAUAAAAUUGUGGUGGUUUUAAAGCCACU
rnacentral:lncRNA from 1 species